UAGGGAAUAUUAGUAAUGGGCGCAAGCCUGAACUAGCAACACCGCGUGUGCGAAGAAGGCCUUCGGGUUGUAAAGCACUUUUUGAGAGGCUGAGGAAGGACGGUACUCUCAGAAUAAGUCUCGGCUAACUACGUGCCAGCAGCCGCGGUAACACGUCGGAGGCAAACGUUAUCCGGAUUUACUGGGCGUAAAGCGCGUGUAGGUGGUUUGGUAAGUAGAGCGUGAAAGCUCAUGGCUCAACUGGGAGAGGUCGUUCUAAACGGCCGGACUAGAGGAUGGUAGAGGGAGGUGGAAUUCCGGGGGUAGCGGUGGAAUGCGCAGAUAUCCGGAGGAACACCAGUGGCGAAAGCGGCCUCCUGGACCACUCCUGACACUCAGACGCGAAAGCUAGGGUAGCAAACG
rnacentral:rRNA from 1 species